rfam:Agrilus planipennis Contig41515, whole genome shotgun sequence.
CCUCUUGUAGCUUAGUGGUCAGAGCGUUGGCGUUUGAAUUCAAAGGUACCGGGUUCGAUUCCGGGUGAGGGUG